AACGCUAGCUACAGGCUUAACACAUGCAAGUCGAGGGGCAGCAUUAGGUAGCAAUACUGAGAUGGCGACCGGCGCACGGGUGCGUAACGCGUAUCCAACUUUCCCGUUACUCUGGGAUAGCCUUCCGAAAGGGAGAUUAAUACCGGAUGGUGUUUGAAUUCCGCAUGUUAUUCAAACUAAAGAUUUAUCGGUAACGGAUAGGGAUGCGUGACAUUAGGUAGAUGGCGGGGUAACGGCCCACCAUGCCUACGAUGUCUAGGGGUUCUGAGAGGAAGGUCCCCCACACUGGAACUGAGACACGGUCCAGACUCCUACGGGAGGCAGCAGUGAGGAAUAUUGGUCAAUGGUCGGAAGACUGAACCAGCCAAGUAGCGUGAAGGAUGUAGGUUCUAUGGAUUGUAAACUUCUUUUAUACGGGAAUAAAGCCCGCUACGUGUAGCGGUUUGUAUGUACCGUAUGAAUAAGCAUCGGCUAACUCCGUGCCAGCAGCCGCGGUAAUACGGAGGAUGCGAGCGUUAUCCGGAUUUAUUGGGUUUAAAGGGAGCGUAGACGGGAUGUUAAGUCAGUUGUGAAAGGCUGCGGCUCAACCGCAGCACUGCAGUUGAUACUGGCGUCCUUGAGUGCGGUUGAGGUGUGUGGAAUUCGUGGUGUAGCGGUGAAAUGCUUAGAUAUCACGAAGAACUCCGAUUG
rnacentral:rRNA from 1 species